rnacentral:tRNA from 1 species
GCGCCCGUAGCUCAACGGAUAGAGCAUCUGACUUCGGAUCAGAAGGUUCGGGGUUCGAAUCCCUGCGGGCGCAC